GACAUAGGCCCCAAGCGUUAGGCGGAAUCACUGGGCUUAAAGCGUGUGUAGGCGGAUCGUUAAGUGUCUUGUGAAAUCCCACGGCUCACCCGUGGAACUGCUGGGCAUACUGGCGAUCUUGGGCCAACUAGGGGCAGCCGGAACAAGCGGUGGAGCGGUGAAAUGCGUAGAUAUCGCUUGGAACGCCGAAGGUGAAAACAGGCUGCUGGGGUUGCGCCGACGCUGAGACACGAAAGCCAGGGGAGCAAACGGG
rnacentral:rRNA from 1 species